rnacentral:rRNA from 1 species
UACGUAGGGGGCAAGCGUUGUCCGGAUUUAUUGGGCGUAAAGAGCGUGUAGGCGGCCAUGUAGGUCCGUUGUGAAAACUCGAGGCUCAACCUCGAGACGCCGAUGGAAACCAUGUGGCUAGAGUCCGGAAGAGGAGAGUGGAAUUCCUGGUGUAGCGGUGAAAAUGCGCAGAUAUCAGGAAGAACACCCGUGGCUAAGGCGGCUCUCUAGUACGGUACUGACGCUGAGACGCGAAAGCGUGGGGAGCGAACAGG